UGCGAUGCCUUACCACUUGGCCAAAGGGGC
rnacentral:tRNA from 1 species